CUAAGCUUAAAUCUAAUUAUUUCAUGGGGUCAAAAGCGUUUGUAGCGGCUCAUGCUGAAAUGGGUGGGACUAAACCUGAAGGAGUAGAGCCUGAUAGAAUUGAGUUUUACAAGCAUACUCAUUACACGAGUGAAGACUCUAGAGGCUGAGACUCGUUAUAACAACAUGAUUGAUUUGAAAGAUAUAUAUACUUCGGGAGAGUCUUCCAUGACUAUUGAUGAAAUUGUGGAUACUGUUCUUGGUACAAAGUCGGGAUAUAUAAAAGGCCUUGGUUAUGGUCCAAAACAUAAUACUACAAGAGCUACACAAAGGAGAACGGCUGAGUUAGAGGACUCUCUCAAAAAGGUGAAACAAGAAGCUGCUAGUGCCCAACAUGACUUACAGAAACGAUUAAAUGCAGCUGAAACUGAGGUAGAAAAUCAACAGUCUCAGAUACUAGACCAGCAAUCUCAGAUUCAAGACCAACAGUCACAAAUAAAAGCAUUAAAUUCUUAGUUGGACACUGUAGUAGCACGCCAAGAAGACAUGUUUAGGAAGAUACAACUCUUUGCUCGCUCAUCGCCAUCAAGCGCUCCAUCAGAAGGUAGACUUAAGGUAUAAAAGGGGAGAAUUGAAUCAAAAUCAAUUGCAAGCUAUGUGUCACCACAUUAUUGCUACUUUGGAAGAAACUUUUAAUUAUUUGUCUAAGUUUAGGAUAAUAUUUAGUAUAUUUCAAUUAGAUUUUCUUGUUAUUGGACAUAUAUUACUUUUAUUUAAGGAGUUUAUAAUGAGAUAUUAUCUCAAUAUAAUUUUCGUUGUUUUUAAUUA